CAAAGAACCCUUUAUUUUAUCUGAUUUUUCUCUCCGCCAGAACUUUUCUUUCUCAUCUCCUUUUCCUCUUUAGCUGCUUCCUGUAGUUUCUCCCUUCCAGAUUAAACCUCUUCCAUCACCACCGUCACACCACCAACAUCACUUUCCUUCUUCUUCUUCUUCUUCUUCAAUUCAUUCACAGAAGAAUACAAGGCUUCGUUUGCUUCUUCUUCUAUCAAGUAAAUCUGGUUUUCUGAUCUCAUUAAUUGAUUUUGUUUCGGUUUGGGUUGUGGUGGAAAGUUCUUUGUUUGAAACUCCAGAUCUGUUUGUUCUUCAAUAAAACGAAGUAUAUUUUCGUUUCUCAAGGUAGAAGACCAUUGUGGCGUAUGCUGGAUGCUUUCGGCUUUGAUUUAAAUGGGCGCAUUUUCAAAAGGCUUGAUGAGCACAGGGGACUUAGAGAUCUCUUUGAGGAUCCUGACUUAACCACUUUGUCUGCAAGUCGAUCCCAAGCAUUUAUUUAAAGAUAGUUUACAGCAGGGAAUUCUCAGUCCUAUCGUCAUUGAAGUCUCCUUUGAUAACUGUCCCUACUAUCCGAGGCAUGAAGUUAUCAUCUGAUGCACAGUAUUAAUGUGAAAUAUUCGAAACUUGUUAAGGACAAUCUCCAAAGGAUACAAAAUCCAGCAAAGAGAGUUCAAGAUCGGAGAAGUUGGUUGCAGUCAGUAUGCAGCGGACCUCACUUGUGGAAUUACCCUUACAUCUAAAGAGACCAUCUUCAUUACUGGUGCAUUUAGUUCACAGGAAAACUUGAAGCUGUGCAAGUCAAAUGAAAGUUGCGAAGAAUAAGGCAAGUAAAAGUUGCAGAUCUUAUUUACCAAUUCGUCCCACUUGGAAGUAAAUCUGAUUUGCAUUCCUGUUCACCUAUUAGUGCCAUAUUCAUUACUGGUGCAUUUAUGCUCUCAAGCAAGCUGGUGCAUAAUCACUGAAAUUGAAUCCUUGCAGUAGUUUUUAUUUAUAGGACUUGCAGUACAUCUCUUUAAGAAAUCUUAAACUUACUUUAUAGGACUUGAAUCCUUUUCUGUAUGAUUUUGAACUAAAUUCUUGAAUACAGUUUAUUGUAAUGGGAUUGUUAUUUUGUAUAGAUGAAUCUGGUUCCUACUAUUUGAAUUUCAAUUGUCAUUUGAGAUUGAAUUUGGGUGCAAUCUGAGUUUGAUUCA